AUUGAACGCUGGCGGCAGGCCUAACACAUGCAAGUCGAGCGAGCGGCGGACGGGUGAGUAAUGUCUGGGAAACUGCCUGAUGGAGGGGGAUAACUACUGGAAACGGUAGCUAAUACCGCAUACCAUCAGAUGUGCCCAGAUGGGAUUAGCUAGUAGGUGGGGUAACGGCUCACCUAGGCGACGAUCCCUAGCUGGUCUGAGCGGAUGACUAGCCACACCAGAACUGAGACACGGUCAAGACUCCAACGGUAGGCAGCAGUGAGGAAUAUUGCACAAGGGGCGCAAGCCUGAUGCAGCCAUGCCGCGUGUGUGAAGAAGGCCUUCGGGUUGUAAAGCACUUUCAGCGGGGAGGCGUUACCCGCAGAAGAAGCACCGGCUAACUCCGUGCCAGCAGCCGCGGUAAUUG
rnacentral:rRNA from 1 species